rnacentral:rRNA from 1 species
AACGAACGCUGGCGGCAGGCUUAACACAUGCAAGUCGAGCGAGCCCUUCGGGGCUAGCGGCGGACGGGUGAGUAACGCGUGGGAACGUGCCCUUCUCUACGGAAUAGCCUCGGGAAACUGAGAGUAAUACCGUAUAAGCCCUUCGGGGAAAGAUUUAUCGGGGAAGGAUCGGCCCGCGUUGGAUUAGGUAGUUGGUGGGGUAAUGGCCUACCAAGCCGACGAUCCAUAGCUGGUUUGAGAGGAUGAUCAGCCACACUGGGACUGAGACACGGCCCAGACUCCUACGGGAGGCAGCAGUGGGGAAUCUUAGACAAUGGGGGAAACCCUGAUCUAGCCAUGCCGCGUGAGUGACGAAGGCCUUAGGGUCGUAAAGCUCUUUCGCUGGGGAAGAUAAUGACGGUACCCAGUAAAGAAACCCCGGCUAACUCCGUGCCAGCAGCCGCGGUAACAC